GUGGCAGCAGCACAAGGCAUCAGCAACUCAAAUAAUCACACUUUAGAACUGUGGUGAGCAGAAAAGCAUCUCAGAAAUCACAAGUCAGACCUUGAGGUGGAUGAGCUACAACAGCAGAAGAGCACAUCAGGUUCCACUCCUGUCUGCCAAGAACAGGAAUCUGAGGCUGCAGUGGGCACAGACUCACCCACGCUGGACAGACAGAAAUUGGAAAAAUGUCACCUGGUUGUUACACAUUCAUUCACACCUGGAAGUAAUUUAUCUUAGCCAAUCCACCUACUGCCAUGUUUUGGGGAGGAAACUGGAGAACAUGGAAGAAAUCCACACAGACACAGGAAGAACAUGUGAACCUCUGCACAGACAUCAGAUAAACAAAUAAUUUUGGACAUAAUUUAUAAUCAGCGCUUUGUCUUCAACAAGCGGAUAAAAUGGAGAACCUCAGUGCAUUGAUGAAAGGAGAAGAAGAAAACUUAUCAGGGAGGCUUCCAAGAGACCUACAGCAACAUUAAAGGAGCCGCAGGAACAUCUGGUUCCUGUUUUACAGAUAGCACACUGAACUACAUCUCGCCUCAUUGGCACCAGCGCAGAAUUUUGUGAGAUGAUUUCAUUCUUCUAAUUAUUUCUCUCUCCAGUUCAGUUUCGAAAUUCAGUUUCUUGCCUUCAUGAGCUAUUCCAUAAAAGCUAGCUAGCUAGUGCCACAGCAAACUGUAAAUGUAAACUAAAUGGGUGUGAAAAUGUGCACAUUUUAACAGGAGAUGUAAAAUUGCUUUUUAUCUUUAUGAUCCUUAAAUGUGAUUAAAAAAAGCAAUGUGUUGUUUUUCAUGUUAAUUUGUAAAUGCAGUAAAGGUUUGGAUUUGUGCUGCUAAUAUGUUAAGAGAAUUUAAGUUAUACACAACAAAUUUCUUAUAGUUCCUACUUUACAGUUUGUGAAAAAAACAAGCGAAGUGUUC